GAUGAACGCUGGCGGCGUGCCUAAUACAUGCAAGUCGAGCGAACAGAUGAGGAGCUUGCUCCUCUGACGUUAGCGGCGGACGGGUGAGUAACACGUGGAUAACCUACCUAUAAGACUGGGAUAACUUCGGGAAACCGGAGCUAAUACCGGAUAAUAUAUUGAACCGCAUGGUUCAAUAGUGAAAGACUGUUUUGCUGUCACUUAUAGAUGGAUCCGCGCCGCAUUAGCUAGUUGGUAAGGUAACGGCUUACCAAGGCAACGAUGCGUAGCCGACCUGAGAGGGUGAUCGGCCACACUGGAACUGAGACACGGUCCAGACUCCUACGGGAGGCAGCAGUAGGGGAUCUUCCGCAAUGGGCGAAAGCCUGACGGAGCAACGCCGCGUGAGUGAUGAAGGUCUUCGGAUCGUAAAACUCUGUUAUUAGGGAAGAACAAAUGUGUAAGUAACUAUGCACGUCUUGACGGUACCUAAUCAGAAAGCCACGGCUAACUACGUG
rnacentral:rRNA from 1 species